GACGGAGGGGGCUAGCGUUGUUCGGAAUUACUGGGCGUAAAGGGCGCGUAGGCGGCCGAUCAAGUUAGGCGUGAAAUCCCUGGGCUUAACCCAGGAACUGCGUUUAAUACUGAUUGGCUAGAGAUUGGUAGAGGAAAGUGGAAUUCCUAGUGUAGAGGUGAAAUUCGUAGAUAUCAGGAGGAACACCGGUGGCGAAGGCGACUUCCUGGCCUGUUCUUGACGCUGAGGAGCGAAAGCAUGGGGAGCGAACAGG
rnacentral:rRNA from 1 species